rnacentral:lncRNA from 10 species
ACGGACCACAGCAGUGGGCAGCACCGAGCCGCCUUCCAAGAGGAGAACACAGCUCUCCCCACCGUCCCUGCCACAGCGGGUUUGGAAAGACAGGGCCUUCCAUGCCUGCCCAUAACCUUCAGGGUGGCCGUUAUCUCAGGAGAGAGAAGUGAAGAAUGAGUGGAAUCUUGCACUUCUGCAUCCAAAUGAUCACCCAUCAGUACAUUCUGAUUCAAAUAUAAAGUGAAAAAGAUAAAAUCUGUGGAGAAGCUGCGUUCCUGGAGGCUCACCGUUCAUGUAGACCUACUCAUUCCCCCGAGCAUGCUGAGUCCAGCCUUGCAGAUAAAGAAUUUAACCCAGAAAGAAAAGGUUUCCUCAUUCGAAAGUGCGCUGAAAAUACUGCACAUGUGUGAAUUCGAGAAUAACCGCUCGGGGAGUGGGCGAGGUCGAGGUUUGAAUUAUCCUGGUAGAAACAUGCUUUUGCCCAUUUUCUUAAACAUCGUGAAUCCACUUCCAGCCAGUUGUACACAUUAUGAGGGGGAAAUAUUUUAAGGGAGAAUUUACUAGUUAUCUCAAAAUUUCAUUGGCAAAGACUGACUUAGAGAGGAAAUAUACAUUGAAAAAUUAAUUUUCCGACUUUGGCUUCGUCAAAAGCAAACUAUGUUUCAUUUCCCAGCCACAUGCCCUCCACGGUGACGCCUGUUUGGUGGUUUCUGUGAUGCGGUGAGACACACCCGGAAACAGCCUCGCUGAGUGCUCAUCCGGCUCUAGGUCUUCUUGAUCUAGUUCUGGAAAAACAUCAUACUGGAGGAGGCAGGAGCCCCAAAACCAGUGAGAGACAAGUCCGGUGCCCUGGGAAGAAUGUUUCACUUCUCAUGUGGACUUCCUGUUAAUUUCUUCAGUGUGGCCCCAGGAAACAGUGCGUUUGAACCUUUGUACAGGCGCACUCCUCACAGUCGGAGGGCGGGAUCACAGAGCACACGGAAGCCUACGCGGCUUCUGCCAAACACCAUACUGACCCAGCUAAAUGCUGCGGGUUCGUCUCAUGCUCCUAUUUUCCUGCCUUCACCUGUGGACCAUCAUGAUGAUGAAAUAGAAAAAUAAAUGUAAAAAAUACAGGCCUGAAACAGCAAGUUUCAAAGACAGCUCAAGUUGAUAACAGUGGAGCACGUCUCGAAGUUUCCUUGCUAGGGCCAUGAGUUUUGGGUGAAUAAUAACAAAAACAUAUGACAAUCCAUUAAUCAUUUUAUAUUUAAUAUGUAAAAUGUAUUUGUUAGGCCUUUAUUUCAAUGAAAUUACUUAUUUUUUUAUAAUUAAAGUUGUCACAUAAGUUAUCUUCCAUUGAGUAAUGAUGGACUCAGGGUCAGCCGCCCUUGGACUAGACACCUGUUUUGUAAGUAAAGUUUUAUUGGAACAUGGCCAUUCCCAUUUUGUGAUGUAUCAUCUAUGGCUGCCUCCUCUCCGCUCUGCAGAGUCAAUGGCUGCGACAGAGGCUGUGGCCACCAGGCCUAAAAUAUUGAUGACUCAGCCUUUUCAGCAAAUAUUUUGAAACCCCUGAUUUAAAGGACUGACAAGUAAAAUAUUGUAUCCAAGGCAUAACAAUUUUUUUCUUUUUCUUUUUUCUUUCUUUCUUUCUUUCUUUCUUUUUUUUUUUGAGAUGGAGUCUUGCUCUGUCGCCAGGCUGGAGUGCAGUGGUGUAAUCUCGGCUCACUGCAAUCUCCAUCUCCCUGGUUCAAACCAUUCUCCUGCCUCAGCCUCCUGAGUAGCUGGGACUACAGGUUCGUGCCACCAUGCCCAGUUAAUUUUUGUAUUUUUAGUAGAGAUGGGGUUUCACCAUGUUGGCCAGGAUGGUCUUGAUCUCUUGAGCUUGGGAUCCACCUGCCUUGGUCUCUCAAAGUGCUGGGAUCACAGGCGUGAACCACUGUACCCGCUUGGUAUAACAAAUUUUAAUAUAGUUUUUAUCAAAAACAUAAAUGUUAAAAAUAAAAAAGCAAAUUCAGCAAUGCUUCAAAGUUAUUUUUCUUAUAAAAUAUUUCAAAAUGACUAAAAUUAAAGUGUACAAUUCAGAUGAUAACAUAUUAAAUGUUUAAAUAAAAAUUGUUAAUUUUAUUUACAGCUGAAACUCUAGAAUUUUGGGGGAAAUUUAAUGAAGUGCUUUGAUAAACUAAGAUUACAAUGCUAGCGUUCAGCCUCCAUCCUGUUGCCAGGACAGCCAUUCUCAGGAGCGCACA